rnacentral:misc_RNA from 2 species
AAGUCGUAACAAGGUUUCCGUAGGUGAACCUGCGGAAGGAUCAUUACAGUAUUCUUUUGCCAGCGCUUAACUGCGCGGCGAAAAACCUUACACACAGUGUCUUUUUGAUACAGAACUCUUGCUUUGGUUUGGCCUAGAGAUAGGUUGGGCCAGAGGUUUAACAAAACACAAUUUAAUUAUUUUUACAGUUAGUCAAAUUUUGAAUUAAUCUUCAAAACUUUCAACAACGGAUCUCUUGGUUCUC